GGGAGAUGGCUCAGUGGUUAAGAGCACUGGCUACUCUGUUCCAGAGAACCUGGGUUCAAUUCCUUGCACCCA
rnacentral:tRNA from 1 species